AUUUCUCUGGAAGGAUACAUGGAAAAAGCCCAGCAGACUGAUUUAUUGGUGGUUGCAGAAUUCAGGCUGGAAGUGCUGGGGAAUCAACACCCCGUGGAGCAGCCCUCAAGCAAGGAUUCUUGAGAUGCUGAAAUAAUGGAGACAAAAGGUGAUGGAGUUCAGAGAGCAAGGAUGUGGACCAGAAUAAUAGCAAUAAGUAUUUAUUGAAUGAAAAAAUCAAAGCACGCGUUUGCGGGAGGCCUCCUAUGCGCCAUCACCUUGCUUAUUCUCCACAGCAACAUUUUGAGAUAAGUACUAUUAUUUCUAUUUUAUAAAUUAGAAACCUGGGAUUGCUAAUUGGCUCAAAAUCACAUAGCCAGUAAGUGGCAGAGCUGUGAUUUGAACUGUUACCUGUCCGACUGCAACACCCAUGUUCUUGAACGAGAGCCCUGAGCAGGAAGCACUGUGCUCAGCCUGUACUUAGGCAUCUCCAACCACACAUGUGGCUGCUGUUUCUUGUUGACACCUGGCACAGUGCGUAGCACAUUGUCGGUGUUCAGGUAAUGUUUGUUGA